UAGGUACUAGGAAGUAAUACAACGGAAGUAUGGAGGGUUUUGAUUUCUCCUGUGCAGGUUCGACUCCUGCUUUUCUA
rnacentral:tRNA from 1 species